rnacentral:rRNA from 1 species
UACGAAGGGGGCUAGCGUUGCUCGGAAUUACUGGGCGUAAAGCGCACGUAGGCGGAUUGUUAAGUCGGGGGUGAAAUCCUGGAGCUCAACUCUAGAACUGCCUUCGAUACUGGCGAUCUCGAGUUCGGGAGAGGUGAGUGGAACUGCGAGUGUAGAGGUGAAAUUCGUAGAUAUUCGCAAGAACACCAGUGGCGAAGGCGGCUCACUGGCCCGAUACUGACGCUGAGGUGCGAAAGCGUGGGGAGCAAACAGG